rfam:Puccinia sorghi strain RO10H11247 Scaffold_116, whole genome shotgun sequence.
UCUCCCAUAGCUUAGUUGGUAGAGCGCAAUGCUUAUAUUACGGCAUUCCCCCUCGUCGGGAAGCCGGUAUACUGUGGUAGCACACCCCUCUAUGAGGUUACGUUGAUGUCAGGGGUUCGAGCCCCCUUGGGAGAA